AUUUAAAUAGUUUAAUAAAAAAUAAUGACUUGUGGCGUCAUAGAUAUAUAAAUAUAUUUUAAAUA
rnacentral:tRNA from 1 species